GUUUAAUCAGGUAGGUUAUUGAGAACACAGUCUCUUACAAAAACAACCAAGAGAAGGCCUACGAAAAGGCCGUAGGGACAAUUCAUGUCUAUGUAUUGGGAUGGAGUUUGUUAAUUGAAAAUGGACUAUCUAUAACAACUUUGACUUUAAUUAAAUGAUUACAGCAUUUUAUUUUUGUAACUACUUUUCCAUGAUUAUUUAUAUAUUUCUGCCCUAACUACAUUUAUACAAAAAAAAUAAGUUUUUUUGUAUCCACUGGCAUAUGCACAGCUUUAACGCUGUCCAAAUGGAGAGAAAGACCAGAAGAAGAAAGAAACAGAGAAGACAAUAUUGAUCAGCACCUUUCAUCUUCAAUACUGGUGGCUUUCAUCUUCAAUACUGGUGGCUUUCAUCUUCAAUACUGGUGGCUUUCAUCUUCAAUACUGGUGGCUUUCAUCUUCAAUACUGGUGGCUUUAUACUGGUGGCUUUAUACUGGUGGCUUUAUACUGGUGGUUUUCAUCUUCAAUACUGGUGGCUUUCAUCUUCCAUUGUACUCUUAAUAGGGAACACUCACUUUGACCAAAUUAUUUUUGACAGACAGAUAAGCAGAUCGUUACAAACAUAUAACCUGAGGGACUGUCUGUUUCUAUUCUGUAUAUCAGGUUCCAAAGGCAUGUGAUGUUGUUUAGUGUUCGGGAUGAUUAGUCCUACUUUAUCUCUCUCCAGCCCUUGAUGAUCAGUGAAGGCUAUUUAACCUCUCACUCUACAAGGUCACUGAGUCUGAACCAGCCAGUCAUCUACAUUCAUAUCCUGUGUUUUAUCACCCUACGAGCCAGGACACAGCCUGAGAUUCUCUGGCAGGCCACUGUUGACCAAUUCAAAGUCUAGGUUGAAAACUAAAGGAGAUCGGGCAUUUGCCCGAGACUUUGGAAUGGUCUGCCAGAGGACAUCAGGCUUAUAGAUUCAGUGCCUCUUUUUAAAUCCCUUACCGAAGACACACUUUUGUAAAGAUGCUUAGUGAUUUUAUUUUACGCUGUGAAGCAUGUUACUUGUAUCGAAAAGCGCUAUACAAAUAAAGUUAUAAUUAUAUUAAACCCCACUAAUCCCUCAAUCCGCACUGCAUCCGUUCCUUCCUGCUGUUCUACCCUGGCCCUAGGAAGCAGGUGAUGAAUCCGUUUUUUUAGUCAUCAAGUACGUAACAAGCAAUCAUUUCUAAAUUGGCCAAGUGGGAGAGGCUAGUGUAUGACGGCAGGGUAUCAUCUGUCUCGGAAGCAGAGAAAUUAAAUGAAGACCUGAUUUUAGAAUUGAUUUAAUAAUUUUCAACAAAGAUAAAUGUUAAUUAUCAGACGAAUGAAACAAACUUAAAAAUUUUUUUUUUUAAAGAAAUGCUUUGUUUCUGUGGAUCCUAACGUAUCUUCUUAGUGAUGUUUUAUUAAGGACUGGUUUUCUGUCUGUGUGGUUAAAGUUAUGGUCCUACAUUUUCCUCCUGGACUUUCUUAUUGUUAGUGAAGUGAGUUUAAAGAGACAGUUGACUUUGAGAUAUUUCCAAUUGAGCCGAAAUAUGCAGCUAUUACCGUGAAUGCAGUGUCCGCGAACACGUCAUGGAUUGAAACUAGGGACUCUAUUCAGUCAUGGAAGUUCAGCGUUACAACCUAAUUUAAAGGCAAUGUUCCCGCUUUAGCGGAGACCGCAUUCACGGUAAACGUUGCACAUGCCAGCUCAAUGGGAAAGGAUCUUAAAAUGUAUAUCGCAGAAUCUGUAACGCUUCAGCGAUCCAGACCGAAUAGCUGAAUGUUGUGAACU
ensembl:lncRNA